ACACUGGUGGUGAAACGGUAUCAUGCUUGCCUUCCAAGCAAGCGGCAGGGGUUCGACUCCCCUUCAGUGUA